UGCCCCAUGGCUGAGUUGGUUACAGCGUCCGACUGUUAAAGAUAGCGGUAUCGGAAGGUCGUGAGUUCGAGCCUCACUGGGGCAG